rfam:Candidatus Nomurabacteria bacterium RIFCSPHIGHO2_01_FTLL_39_9 rifcsphigho2_01_scaffold_10216, whole genome shotgun sequence.
GCCGGUGUAGCUCAGGUAGUUAGAGCAUCGCACUCAUAAAGCGAAGGUCACUGGUGCAACUCCAGUCACCGGCA